AUUGAACGCUGGCGGCAGGCCUAACACAUGCAAGUCGAGCGAGCGGCGGACGGGUGCGUAAUGUCUGGGGAACUGCCCGAUAGAGGGGGAUAACUACUGGAAACGGUGGAUAAUACCGCAUACUAUCGGAUGAACCCAGAUGGGAUUAGCUAGUAGGUGGGGUAAAGGCUCACCUAGGCGACGCUCUCUAGCUGGUCUGAGAGGAUGACCAGCCACACUGGAACUGAGACACGGCCCAGACUCCGACGGGAGGCAGCAGUGGGGAAGAUUGCACAAUGGGCGCAAGCCUGAGGCAGCCGUGCCGCGUGUAUUAAGAAGGCCGUAGGGUUGUAAAGUACUUUCAGCGGGGAGGCGUUACCCGCAGAAGAAGCACCGGCUAACUCCGUGCCAGCAGCCGCGGUAAUAC
rnacentral:rRNA from 1 species